rnacentral:lncRNA from 10 species
UUAACCAAGGGAGAGCCAUAAUGCAAGCCAUUCCUAGUGGAAAAGUUGAGAAGGAAGAACAGCUUAUUCCAGACCAGUGAAAUUGAAAUUCCCAUGUGGAACAACAUAAGAGGAAAGAGGCCUUCCCUUACAAAGUUGGACAGCCCUCUCGCAUGGCAAUUUGGCAGUAAGUAUCAACAUGUUCAGUGUGUAUAACCUUUGCCCAAGCAAUACCACUUCUGGGAAUCUACAGAAAUUCUACCAGAAGACCACAAAGAUACAUAAGCCCUGAGCACUGAAGCACUGUCUGAUGUGAAAACCUGAAAAUAUCCUUUGUGUUUCCCAUAAGCAAACAUUGAUGCAUUUAUGCCGUGAAAAGGGCUGUUAGAGCAAGGCCGAUCUGAGGGAUGAAUAUUGACGUAUAUCAUUAUGAUGACACGUG